UGGGGAAUAUUGCACAAUGGGGGAAACCCUGAUGCAGCGACGCCGCGUGAACGAAGAAGGUAUUCGUAUCGUAAAGUUCUGUCCUAUGGGAAGAUAAUGACAGUACCAUAGAAGAAAGUUCCGGCUAAAUACGUGCCAGCAGCCGCGGUAAUACGUAUGGAGCGAGCGUUGUCCGGACUUAUUGGGCGUAAAGGGUACGCAGGUGGUUUAAUAAGUCGAAUGUUAAAGAUCGGGGCUCAACCCCGCAAAGCAUUGGAAACUGAUAAACUUGAGUAGUGGAGAGGAAAGUGGAAUUCCUAGUGUAGUGGUGAAAUACGUAGAUAUUAGGUGGAAGACCACUAGCGAAGGCGACUCUCUGGACACAAACUGACGCUGAGGUACGAAAGCGUGGGGAGCAAACAGG
rnacentral:rRNA from 1 species